GAUGAACGCUGGCGGCGUGCCUAAUACAUGCAAGUCGAGCGAACAGACGAGGAGCUUGCUCCUCUGACGUUAGCGGCGGACGGGUGAGUAACACGUGGAUAACCUACCUAUAAAACUGGGAUAACUUCGGGAAACCGGAGCUAAUACCGGAUAAUAUAUUGAACCGCAUGGUUCAAUAGUGAAAGACGGUUUUGCUGUCACUUAUAGAUGGAUCCGCGCCGCAUUAGCUAGUUGGUAAGGUAACGGCUUACCAAGGCAACGAUGCGUAGCCGACCUGAGAGAGGAAUAGGCGACGCUGGAAGUGAGACACGGUCCAGACUCCUACGGGAGGCAGCAGUAGGGAAUCUUCCGCAAUGGGCGAGAGCCUGACGGAGCAACGCCGCGUGAGUGAUGAAGGUCUUCGGAUCGUAAAACUCUGUUAUUAGGGAAGAACAAAUGUGUAAGUAACUAUGCACGUCUUGACGGUACCUAAUCAGAAAGCCACGGCUAACUACGUG
rnacentral:rRNA from 1 species